UGGGGAAUAUUGCACAAUGGGCGAAAGCCUGAUGCAGCAACGCCGCGUGAGUGAUGAAGGCCUUCGGGUUGUAAAGCUCUGUCUUCUGGGACGAUAAUGACGGUACCAGAGGAGGAAGCCACGGCUAACUACGUGCCAGCAGCCGCGGUAAUACGUAGGUGGCAAGCGAUGUCCGGAUUUACGGGGCGUAAAGGAUGCGUAGGCGGAUACUUAAGUCAGAUGUGAAAAUCCCGGGCUGAACUUGGGAACUGCAUUUGAAACUGGGUAUCUAGAGUGCGGGAGAGGAAAGUGGAAUUCCUAGUGUAGCGGUGAAAUGCGUAGAGAUUAGGAAGAACACCAGUGGCGAAGGCGACUUUCUGGACCGUAACUGACGCUGAGGCAUGAAAGCGUGGGGAGCAAACA
rnacentral:rRNA from 1 species